rnacentral:misc_RNA from 1 species
CGGAUGCGUGGCUGCGUGUGCCGGUGUCUGCCUGGCGAGGGCCGUGCACGUACUCCUGUGCGUGUCGCUGUGUCCCCCUCUCUGUCGCGAAGCUCUGCGCAGGACCUGCAUGGACCUACACCGGCUUCACGCAUUCACGCACGCAUCCGCUCGCUGAGCGAGGCCCUCGUCGCUACCGCCUUCGCUUGUUUGCAGGUGCGGCGGACUCGCCGGCCCGCCCUCCUCCUCGCCGCCUGCGGUGUGACGACAAAAGAGAAACGAACGCAAAACAGGGCAGGCAGGCACGGGGAGGCUGCUGGCGGAGACAGGAGAUACCCGCAUGGACAGCCGCACACGGUCGGACGGCCUGCUCCGUCCCAGCCUGCUCCUGUAUCCCCUGCGCGCCAUUCCGCAGAGCUGACGACAGCGUGAACUGCUAUGCGUCUCGGUGCGUAUGUGCCGGCUUGGCUGUACUCCUCCUGCCUUCUAUUACUCGACUCUCUUUCUUCGCCGUUUCUUUGCUUCCGGCCUGCCCCCGCUUCCGUUUUCCCACCUCCCUCUCUCGCAG